UGCACCAGUUUGCACUCCCACCAGCAGUGUAUGAGGGUCCCUUCUCUUCCACAUCCUCUCCAACACUUAUUGUUUCCUACCUUGUUAAUUAUGGCCAUUCUGAUGGGAGUGAGGUGAUAUUUCAUUGUAGUUUUGAUUUGUAUUUCCCUGAUAGUUAAUGAUGUUGAAUAUCUUUUCAUAUGGCUGUUGGCCAUCUGUAUACCUUCUUUGGAGAAAUGUCUGUUCAGAUCAUUUUUUAAUUGGGUUGUUAGGGUUUUUUUGUUAAGACGUAUGAGUUCUUUGUAUAUUUUAGAUGUUAACCCCUUAUCAGAUAUACGGUUUGCAAAUAUCUUCUCCCAAUUGUUAGGUUGUCUUUUUGUCCUGUUGAUGGUCUCCAUUGCUGUGCAGAGCUUUUUAUUUUUAUGUAGUCCCAUUGUUUAUUUUUUCUUUUGUUUCCCUUGCCCAAUCAGACACGGUACUUGAAAAUAUGCUGCUCAGACUGAUGUCAAAGAGUGUACUGCUGAUGUUUUCUUCUAGAAGUUUCAUGGUUUCAGGUCUUACAUUCAGAGCAUGGAGACUGACAUCAGCAUCAUGGUGGAGUGUGCUUGCCUGGUGAACUCUCCCUUCCAGGAUACAACAAAAAGGACAUUCAUAUUCCAACAUAGGACAUCCACACAACACAAAAGAUGUCUGAGAGACCCAUGCAGCCAUACAUCAGAAAGUGGAGGUGCUGGAGCCCUCCCUUGGAGGAGGUGGAAAGAGUGGCCCAGCAUUUCACCAGUUUGGAUCCUGAGCAUGGACCCAGCACCACUCAUCAAGCCAUGCUGAGGCAGUGUCCCAAAUGCCACAACUAGAAGGACCCAAAACUAAAAUAUACAACUAUGUACAGGGAGGCUUUGGGAGAAGAAGGAAAAAUAAAAUCUUAAAAAAUAUAUAUAUCAAAUAUCCAUACCAGAAGGAAAAUGACAAGUACCCAGAAAUCAAUCCUGAAG
rnacentral:lncRNA from 1 species